GCAUAUCAAUAAGCGGAGGAAAAGAAACCAACAGGGAUUGCCUUAGUAACGGCGAAGUGAAGCGGCAACAGCUCAAAUUUGAAAUCUGGCUCCUUCGGGGUCCGAGUUGUAAUUUGUAGAGGAUGUUUCGGGCACGGUCCGGGCUUAAAUUUCUUGGAACAGAAUGUCAGAGAGGGUGAGAAUCCCGUCUGGAGUCUGUCGACACGGCCUAUGUGAAACUCCUUCGACGAGUCGAGUUGUUUGGGAAUGCAGCUCUAAAUGGGUGGUAAAUUUCAUCUAAAGCUAAAUAUUGGCCAGAGACCGAUAGCGCACAAGUAGAGUGAUCGAAAGAUGAAAAGCACUUUGAAAAGAGAGUUAAACAGUAUGUGAAAUUGUUGAAAGGGAAGCGCUGGCAACCAGACUUGCGCGUCGCGGUUCCCCCUGGCUUCUGCCUGGGUUACUCCGCGGCGUUCAGGCCAACAUCGGUUUCGGGGGUCGGUUAAAGGCCCGGGGAAUGUACCUACUCUUCGGGGUAGACUUAUAGCCCUGGGUGUCAUGCGACCUCCCGGGACCGAGGAACGCGCUUCGGCUCGGAUGUUGGCGUAAUGGUUGUCAGCGACCCGUCUUGAAACACGGACCAAGGAGUCUAACAUCUAUGCGAGUGUUCGGGUGUCAAACCCUUACGCGGAAUGAAAGUGAACGGAGGUAGGAAGCCUUGAGGCUGCACUAUCGACCGAUCCUGAAGUUUACGGAUGGAUUUGAGUAAGAGCAUAGCUGUUGGGACCCGAAAGAUGGUGAACUAUGCCUGAAUAGGGUGAAGCCAGAGGAAACUCUGGUGGAGGCUCGCAGCGGUUCUGACGUGCAAAUCGAUCGUCAAAUUUGGGUAUAGGGGGCGAAAGACUAAUCGAACCAUCUGGUAGCUGGUUCCUGCG
rnacentral:rRNA from 1 species